UACGGAGGGUGCGAGCGUUGUCCGGAAUCACUGGGCGUAAAGGGCGCGUAGGCGGUGCGGUAAGCGUGCGGUGAAAGCUCGGGGCUCAACCCCGAGUCGGCCGUGCGAACUGCUGGACUGGAGCAUGUCAGAGGCGGGUGGAAUUCCGGGUGUAGCGGUGGAAUGCGUAGAGAUCCGGAAGAACACCGGUGGCGAAGGCGGCCCGCUGGGACAUAGCUGACGCUGAGGCGCGACAGCGUGGGGAGCAAACAGG
rnacentral:rRNA from 3 species